rnacentral:rRNA from 1 species
UACGGGGGGGGCAAGCGUUGUUCGGAAUUACUGGGCGUAAAGGGCUCGUAGGCGGCCAACUAAGUCGGACGUGAAAUCCCUCGGCUUAACCGGGGAACUGCGUCCGAUACUGGAUGGCUUGAGUUUGGGAGAGGGAUGCGGAAUUCCAGGUGUAGCGGUGAAAUGCGUAGAUAUCUGGAGGAAUACCGGUGGCGAAGGCGGCAUCCUGGACCGACAUUGACGCUGAUGAGCGAAAGCUAGGGGAGCAAACGGG